CUCUUAAUAUUGAUUGUUUUUCAUCUUCUUCAAGUCUAGUUCUUGUAUGAAACAGAAGACAUGGAGAGACAACAGAGAGACUGAGACUGGGAUCGAAUCAAAUCGAAACCAACCGAAUUGGGAAACCCUAAGAAGCGAUCUCAUUGAGCUCUCGUCGGUAGAUCUUUGAGCUUGGACGGAAACCCUAGCAAUGGCGUUGCAGAAAGUGAUCGAGCUUCGGAACAUCGAUCCACACAUCUGGAAGGCGUGUGCUGGAAGCUCCGUGGAGAUCCCCGUUGUCGGCACUAAGGUUUACUACUUCCCUCAAGGCCACGCCGAGCAGGCUUCUUCUGCUCCCAAUUUCAGUUCUCUAGUUUGUGCAAAAGACAUGGUUUUGUGCCGAAUCGUAUCAGUCAUGUUCCUCGCGAAUCCUGAUACUGACGAGGUUUUUGUUAGGAUCCGCCUUGAGCCGCUGGACCGGUCUCUCGCUGGAUUUAUCCGUAAGCCGCCAGUUGCGGUAGGAUUUUCGCAGGAUGGCGGCAUUGAUGAUACCGAAGAGAAGGUCGUAUCAUUUGCGAAGAUCCUGACGCCGAGUGAUGCCAAUAAUGGUGGCGGGUUUUCGGUUCCAAGGUUCUGUGCUGAUUCGAUCUUUCCGGCAUUAGACUACAAGGCGGAGCCACCGGUGCAGACGAUUUCAGUGAAAGAUGUGCAUGGAGUGGUUUGGGAGUUCCGGCACAUUUACCGUGGGACGCCACGUCGGCACUUGCUGACAACUGGGUGGAGUAAGUUCGUGAAUCAUAAGAAGCUUGUUGCUGGAGAUUCUGUAGUUUUCAUGAAGAAUCAGAGCGGAGAGCUUUCUGUCGGGAUCAGGCGCACUGCGAGGUCGAACGGUAGUGUGGACUGUAUACGGUGGAAUUAUCAUGUUGGAGCUGCGGCUAAUUCCAGUACGAAAUUGGAGGAGGAAUUUGGAUGUGGAGAAGCAUUCUCGAGGAGUAGCAGGGGCAGAGUUCCGGCUGAGUCUGUAGUGGAGGCUGCUGAAUUGGCGGGUGCAAAUAGGCCUUUUGAGGUUAUUUACUAUCCAAGAACUGGCUCACCGGAUUUUGUAGUGAAGGCAGAGGUGGUGGAGGAAUCCUUGAAUAUAUUUUGGAUGAUUGGUAUGAGGGUUAAGAUGGCCGUGGAGACAGAGGAUUCUUCUAGAAUGACAUGGUUCCAGGGGACUGUUUCAUCUAUUGCAACUCCAGAUCAUGGGCCGUGGAAGGGCUCUUUCUGGCGCAUGCUUCAGGUUAACUGGGAUGAGCCUGAAGUUUUGCAGAAUGUCAAUAGAGUAAGUCCCUGGCAAGUUGAAUUGGCUGCAGCCACACCACCUCUUCAAACCCCUUUCCCCCCAACAAAGAAAUUCAAGGUUCCUCAGAAUCCUGACUUGCUGACUGGAGAGGGACCCCUAUUUUUUCCUAUGACAGGAUUAUCCAAUUCAAUGAUGGGGCACUUGAACUUGACCCCAUCAUUGUUUAAUUAUAACACUUUUCCUGCUGGCAUGCAGGGAGCCAGGCAUGAUCCAAUCUGUGUAUCCAGUUUAUCCAAUUUUGUAUCUAAAAAUAUGGGUGACAUGUAUUCUAAUAAUAUUUAUGGCAACAAAACUACACCGAAGUCAAGUUGUGUGUCCACUGAAUUGAGUAUUGGUAGUUCAUCACACUCAGACAACUCGUCACCACAUAGCCAAGGCAGUGUGCAUUUCUUUGGCACAGAAACUUCUGGCCAUCAUAACUGCAACAUGACAGCAAAAGCUAGUGUUACUUCGUUCCAGCUGUUUGGUAAGACUAUCCAGACAAAACAGACUGCAAAGAGUGGGUUUGAUGAUGGUGGAUGCAUGGAAGAUGAAGUUAUUAAGGAGUACAAAGAGGCAGAUGGUGUGAGCAAACCACUUCAUUCGUCAUCUUAUCCAUAUGAAGGGAUGUAUAAUGGGCUUGAUGUUCAAUGCCAGAGAGUAUCAGCUGUGGAGGCAUGUUCCUUGUGAUGGAAAGGUAGUUCCAUUGGUGCCAUGCAGAUGGAAGCUGUACAGGGCUGAAACGAAAUGGAUCUUUAAAAUGAUUUGGAAGCACGACCCACAUCCAUCAAAAAAGAAGCCUUAGAUAUUUUGAUUAUUGAAAUUGUAGCAUUUUUGUUCAUGGGAAAGGACAGCUCAUUCAUCUUUCCAAUAGGUGUUUCUAGGAAAGGGAGGAACUGACUCGUUAUCUGACUCUUGCAGCAAUAAUUUGACAGUGUUGGAUUGGUUUAGUUUUGAAGCUAGAACAUUUUAGUCUGACAAUGUGGCUGUAUGAACCACCGUAGUUUCUUUUUUUUUUUCUGAUGUCCAAACCAAUUAAUUUACAAUUGACAGAAACUUGACAUUUUAAUUUGUCGUGCUUGAGUAUGCGAGUCAUUCUGUAUGAGUUGAUGGAUGCUUUCUUCUAUUGAGCAACUUUGUAUGUUCACAAGUUUGAACUAUUAUUGCCUACGAGACUGACCUACAUUCCAUUUGCAUUAAUACUAUUAUCAUGUGAUGCUACUCUA